AUUGAACGCUGGCGGCAUGCCUUACACAUGCAAGUCGAACGGUAACAGGUCUUCGGCUUCUGACGAGUGGCGAACGGGUGCGUAAUACAUCGGAACGUGCCCGAUCGUGGGGGAUAACGAAGCGAAAGCUUUGCUAAUACCGCAUAAGAUCUACGGAUGAAAGCAGGGGACCGCAAGGCCUUUCGCGAACUGAGCCGCCGAUGGCAGAUUAGGUAGUUGGUGGGAUAAAAGCUUACCAAGCCGACGAUCUGUAGCUGGUCUGAGAGGACGACCAGCCACACUGGGACUGAGACACGGCCCAGACUCCUACGGGAGGCAGCAGUGGGGAAUUUUGGACAAUGGGCGAAAGCCUGAUCCAGCCAUGCCGCGUGCAGGAUGAAGGCCUUCGGGUUGUAAACUGCUUUUGUACGGAACGAAAAGCCUCUGGUUAAUACCUGGGGUCCAUGACGGUACCGUAAGAAUAAGCACCGGCUAACUACGUG
rnacentral:rRNA from 1 species